ensembl:scaRNA
CCCCAGGUUACCCCGUGUAGCUCCCAGUGAGCCUGCAGGGUUUUCUUUAUAUGAUCAGACCCAAUGUGGGCGGCACUGCUACCUGGAGUCUGAGAGGAUUAUGAAAUGUGUCAGGUGAAGUGCGGCCUGGGUACCGGUG